rnacentral:miRNA from 1 species
CGUUGUAUAAAAAUGAUUCUGCUUCCAUACAUACAUACGUACAUAUGUGUAUGGGAGCAGAAUCACUUGCG